rnacentral:tRNA from 1 species
GGUUGCUUAGGUUAGUUAAACUUUUGAUUUUGUAACUCAAAGAUGUAAAUUCAGCAACUU